rnacentral:rRNA from 1 species
UACGUAGGGUGCAGGCGUUAAUCGGAAUUACUGGGCGUAAAGCGUGCGCAGGCGGUCUUUUAAGUCAGAUGUGAAAUCCCCGGGCUUAACCUGGGAACUGCGUUUGAAACUGGAAGGCUAGAGUGUGGCAGAGGGGGGUGGAAUUCCACGGUGUAGCAGUGAAAUGCGUAGAUAUGUGGAGGAACACCGAUGGCGAAGGCAGCCCCCUGGGCUAACACUGACGCCUCAUGCACGAAAGCGUGGGGAGCAAACAGG